UCAGUAACACGGAUUUGUCAUGA
rnacentral:miRNA from 1 species